rnacentral:rRNA from 1 species
GAGUUUGAUCGUGGCUCAGGAUGAACGCUGGCGGCGUGCCUAAUACAUGCAAGUCGAGCGAACAGACGAGGAGCUUGCUCCUCUGACGUUAGCGGCGGACGGGUGAGUAACACGUGGAUAACCUACCUAUAAGACUGGGAUAACUUCGGGAAACCGGAGCUAAUACCGAAUAAUAUAUUGAACCGCAUGGUUCAAUAGUGAAAAACGGUUUUGCUGUCACUUAUAGAUGGAUCCGCGCCGCAUUAGCUAGUUGGUAGGGUAACGGCUUACCAAGGCGACGAUGCGUAGCCGACCUGAGAGGGUGAUCGGCCACACUGGAACUGAGACACGGUCCAGACUCCUACGGGAGGCAGCAGUAGGGAAUCUUCCGCAAUGGGCGAAAGCCUGACGGAGCAACGCCGCGUGAGUGAUGAAGGUCUUCGGAUCGUAAAACUCUGUUAUUAGGGAAGAACAAAUGUGUAAGUAACUAUGCACGUCUUGACGGUACCUAAUCAGAAGCCACGGCUAACUACGUGCCAGCCGCCG